rnacentral:rRNA from 1 species
AAACUAACAAGGAUUCCCCUAGUAACGGCGAGUGAAGAGGGAAGAGCCCAAGAUUGAAAGCUGGCGUCUUCGACGUCCGCAUUGUAAUCUCAAGAAGUGUUUUCCGCUUCGGACCAAGCCUAAGUCCCCUGGAAAGGGGCAUCAUAGAGGGUGAUAAUCCCGUACAUGGCUUGGAGCGCCCGUAGCUUUGUGAUACACUUUCUAAGAGUCGAGUUGUUUGGGAAUGCAGCUCAAAAUGGGUGGUAAAUGCCAUCUAAGGCUAAAUAUUGGGGAGAGACCGAUAGCGAACAAGUACAGUGAUGGAAAGAUGAAAAGAACUUUGAAAAGAGAGUUAAACAGUACGUGAAAUUGCCAAAAGGGAAGGGUAGGAGGUCAGAGAUGCGGCCUGGGAUUCAGCCUUGCUUUUGCUUGGUGUUUUUCCCAGAUUGCAGGCCAACGUCGGUUUUGGGCACUGGAGAAUGGUGGAAGGAACGUGGCACCUCUCGGGGUGUGUUAUAGCCUUCUACUGGAUACAGCGACCGAGACCGAGGACAGCAGCGUACUCGCAAGAGCGGGCCUUCGGGCACC